ACUUUUCAGCCACUCCCCAAAAUUGCGCCGCAACUCUUCUCUCCUUCUGCUGUUCCAACUCCUCCUCUACUCCGAUGGCGUCGAAGCAAAGGAGUCCUCCAACAACACCGCACCGCCAAAUCCGUUUACAAAUCGCUAUCCUCCCCCUUUUGCUUGCUGUUGUUCGUGAUUUAUAGAUGCGAGCGAAGGGUUGAACGUGAGCGACGUGGAGGUUGCCGAACUUGGGGGCAACAUGCGGCACCCAAACUGCUGUUAGUCACUGCUUAGGGUUAGGCUGGGGUUUGGGCUUGUUCAGGUAUUGGGCCCCGGGCACCAAUUGGGUAUUACAAACAUGACUCGGACUCGGACGGAUAUAUGGAUCCAAUCAACACUCCAGUUUGGCACCUAGUGCCUCAUCGGAUAAAUCCGAAGUAAUAAUUGCGCCUAGCGCUAUAUAAAUUUGACACCCAGUGUCUCAUCGGUUAAACCAAAGUAAAUUGGCACCAAGUGCCUCAUCGACUCGAAGUCGAAGAAAUCCCUGAACUCUUCCAAUCCUAUAGCAUGUCAUCUAUAUCCGACUUAGCUCGAUACAGUUAAUAGGAUUUAAUUUCACUUCCUAAAUACAACCAAUAUUCAAUUAUCAUAUUUGCACAUAUAUAUUCAUUUCAAUUCAAAUAA